GAUGAACGCUGGCGGCGUGCCUAAUACAUGCAAGUCGAGCGAACAGACGAGAAUCUUUGUACUCUCUCGUGUUCGCGGGGCGGGUGAGAAACACAUGGAUGACACCUCUCUAUAACUGUGAUAACUUCGGGGGACCGGGGCUAAUACCCGGUAAUAUAUUGAACUGCGUAGGUCGCAAUAGAAAGAGACUGUUCCUGUCUCUUUUAGAUGGAUCCGCGCCGCAUUAGCUAGUUGGUGAGGUAACGGCUUACCAAGGCAACGAUGCGUAGCCGACCUGAGAGGGUGAUCGGCCACACUGGAACUGAGACACGGUCCAGACUCCUACGGGAGGCAGCAGUAGGGAAUCUUCCGCAAUGGGCGAAAGCCUGACGGAGCAACGCCGCGUGAGUGAUGAAGGUCUUCGGAUCGUAAAACUCUGUUAUUAGGGAAGAACAAAUGUGUAAGUAACUAAGCACGUCUUGACGGUACCUAAUCAGAAAGCCACGGCUAACUACGUG
rnacentral:rRNA from 1 species